UACAGAGGGUGCAAGCGUUGUUCGGAAUCACUGGGCGUAAAGGGCGUGUAGGCGGUGAGGUGUGUCUGGUGUGAAAUCCCUCGGCUCAACUGAGGAAUGGCAUCGGAAACUACCUCGCUCGAGUGCGGGAGAGGGUGGCGGAAUUUCCAGAGUAGAGGUGAAAUUCGUAGAUACUGGAAGGAACACCUGAGGCGAAGGCGGCCACCUGGCCCGUAACUGACGCUGAUACGCGAAAGCGUGGGGAGCAAACAGGAUUAGAUACCCUGGUAGUCCACGCUGUAAACGAUGGGCACUAGAUGCCGGGCCUAUAGACGGGUUCGGUGUCGCAGCUAACGCAUUAAGUGCCCCGCCUGGGGAGUACGGCCGCAAGGCUGAA
rnacentral:rRNA from 1 species